AAUCAACGCUGGCGGCGUGCCUCAGACAUGCAAGUCGAACGCGAAAGUCCCCUUCGGGGGACAAGUAGAGUGGCGCACGGGUGAGUAACACGUAGGUAAUCUACCUUUGGAUGGGGAAUAACAACCGGAAACGUUGCUAAUACCGCAUAAUGCAGCGGCACCUAAUGGUGACAGUUGUUAAAAGCGGGGGAUCGAAAGACCUCGCGUCUAAAGAGGAGCCUGCGGCGGAUUAGCUAGUUGGAAGGUAAUGGCUUACCAAGGCUACGAUCGUAACCGGCCUGANAGGGCGGUCGGUCACACUGACACUGACAUACGGGUCAGACUCC
rnacentral:rRNA from 1 species